UUAACUUGCACAAUAUGUGUACAAAAUGUACCUUCGGUAAAAGAAGCCUUAGAAAAUGGUCGAUUACUUAUUGGAAUAAUUGAUUCAUGGCUACUCUGGAAUCUCUGUGGUGUCCAUUCGACCGAUGUUACUAAUGCGAGUCGAACUUUCCUUAUGAACAUUGAGACACUUGAGUGGGAUCAUUAUCUUUGCGAAAAAGUAUUCAAGAUUCCGGUAUCAAUUUUACCUAAAAUACAAUCAUCAGCAUCACACUUCGGUUUAAUCAAAUCUGGUUCUUUACAAGGGAUUCCUUUCUCUGGUGUUAUUGGUGAUCAGCACUCAGCUUUAGUGGGUCACCAAUGUCUCUCUCCUGGUUAGAUUAAAAGUACUUAUGGAACUGGAUGUCUCAUUUUACAAAAUUUAGGUUCACUUUCGGUGAAAAAAGUUCUGAGCGGAGUUUUAGCUGAAGCUAGAAAGUCACUAA